AGGGGAUUUUGGUGUGGAAUUGGGUAAAUUGGGGAUGGGGGAUCUGAAAUUUCCCCGGAUUCCCCUCCAGGCUGAGCCUCCUGCGGAUCCUGGGGGCGACGGCGGCGGCGCCGUUCGGGGUCGGGGUCCUGAGCCACGGCCUGAGGUGUGGGACCCCCCCCACCCGCCUGGCCUGCGCCACCGCCCUGCUGCUGCUGGCACGGCGAGGCUCUCCCCUGUGGCCGCUGCUCUGGGGGUGGGGGAGGGGCGCUGCCGGUGCUGCUGGGGGGCGUGGCCCGAGGUGGGGGAGGGGCGGCCCCUCCCCCCUUCCCCCUCUACACCGCCGCCGCCAUCGCCCAGGUGAGGGCGGAGCUGGGACACGGCCAGGUGAACGGGCACAGGGACAGCGCUGACACUGCCGGGGACAGGAGGGACACCUGGGGACACCUGGACACACCUGGGGACACCCAAAAUUCACCUGGAGAGACCCAAAUACACCUGGAAACAUCCAGAACUCACCUGGAGAGACCAAAAAUGGACCUGGAGAGACCAAAAAGUCACCUGGGGAGAUCCAGAACUCACCUGGACACACCUGGGGACACCUGGAGACACCUGGGGACACCCAGAACAGACCUGGGGACACCCAAAAUUCACCUGGAGAGACCAAAAAGUCACCUGGGGACACCCAGAAGGGACCUGGACACACCUGGGGACACCUGGGAACACCUGGAACCAUCCAGAACUCACCUGGAGAGACCCAGAAUGGACCUGGGGACACCCAGAAGGGACCUGGAACCAUCCAGAACUCACCUGGGGACACC